rnacentral:rRNA from 1 species
GGGAGCAAACAGGAUUAGAUACCCUGGUAGUCCACGCCGUAAACGAUGUCUACUUGGAGGUUGUGGCCUUGAGCCGUGGCUUUCGGAGCUAACGCGUUAAGUAGACCGCCUGGGGAGUACGGUCGCAAGAUUAAAACUCAAAUGAAUUGACGGGGGCCCGCACAAGCGGUGGAGCAUGUGGUUUAAUUCGAUGCAACGCGAAGAACCUUACCUACUCUUGACAUCCAGAGAACUUUCCAGAGAUGGAUUGGUGCCUUCGGGAACUCUGAGACAGGUGCUGCAUGGCUGUCGUCAGCUCGUGUUGUGAAAUGUUGGGUUAAGUCCCGCAACGAGCGCAACCCUUAUCCUUGUUUGCCAGCACUUCGGGUGGGAACUCCAGGGAGACUGCCGGUGAUAAACCGGAGGAAGGUGGGGACGACGUCAAGUCAUCAUGGCCCUUACGAGUAGGGCUACACACGUGCUACAAUGGCGCAUACAGAGGGCAGCCAACUUGCGAGAGUGAGCGAAUCCCAAAAAGUGCGUCGUAGUCCGGAUCGGAGUCUGCAACUCGACUCCGUGA